rnacentral:lncRNA from 1 species
AGAUGCAAUUCACCUCUUCUACGGAACUCCUACCCUGAGAGAAAAAUCUAAGAAACUGAAGUAUAAAACAGAUUUUUCACACAACGAAACAUAUUUGAGAGCAGUCUCUUAUAGCUGAGAGAGCCAGGGAAGAAGCUGCUGACGUACUCCUGUAUUUGCUGUCUCACUUCACCUCUGUCCAGACCCAGUUCAGCAGAAAUGGACAUUAUUCACCAUGGUUCCUGGUGACAAGGACAACACGUGUGGCUUGCAGUCUUCAGGUCAGACAGCACUUACUGGUCAGAGUUGUGGUCAUCUCCUGAUAGGCCUGCGAGAGAGAAACACCCAGACACAAAGGAACCCAUGGGGACGUGUGUGACUGUAAGUCUCUAAUUAUCCUUUCUAAUUCUGGAGCCAUGUGACUGGACUUCACAUAGCCUGCUGAACCCUGGGGGCCUGAGGCUCCCAACCUGGACCACUAAGGGAGGGGAUGCUGUUCUUUGCCCCUUCAUUAAAAUAUUGCAUUACAUAGCAGGGCUAGGUGAGCUAUUUCCUGCUGACCAACCGACUGGCAGCUUCACGCUCAGCAGUCAGAGCAUCCUGGAAGAAUUUAACUAUUCCUGUUCAAAUGGGAUCCAGGAUCUCAGCAGACUUUGUUGUCUCUAUAUAAUACUUUAAAAUACACGCAGUAUAAUAAGUACUCAAUGAUCCUUCCUAACUAAAUAUUGAAUAUGAGAGAUCAAGGGAAUUUUCUUCGUUGACGUAUAUAAGAAAGUAGCUACUAAAACUAAUUCAAAAACUGAAAGAGGAAAGGAAUUUUUACUACAAGAGACUACUCCCAAACAAUUACCCUCUCUCACACACACACACACACACACACACACACACACACACACACACACACACACCACUAACAGCAACAAAAACAGUAGCAGCCAAUUCAGCAUUUGGAACUAAGUUCUUGAAAAUAGAUAAAUUCAGACAUCUGUAGAAAGAAAUAAAAACAAAAGAGAAAUAAUCAUUCUAUAUAAAUACUAGGUAUAUAAAAUACCUAGAUGUGCAGGACAGUGAAAACACUUGUCUAAGGGUUAAGCAACUUGAAGUCAGGUAUAGGAUCUGUCACUACCAAGUCACAUGCCUUUGGGUAAUUCUACCAGCCAAACUAGGACACUGAUUUUGUUGUUGUUGUGGUGGUGGUUGGUGAUGGUGGUGGUGAUAGUGGUGGUGGUGGUAGUGGUGGUUGGUGGUGGUGGUGGUGGUGUGGUGAUGGCGGUGGUGGCGGCGGCAUUUAUAAAAAAAAAAGUUAUACAAGGUCCCUUUCAAGUUGUAAAGCUUUGUCUACUUAUGGCCACCUGUUACCUUGAGCCAACUCAAAGAACACUAAAAAGUGUUCCCCAUCAAACUGGUCUGUCCUAACCACUGGCAGUAUGCAUGGGAAGGAAGGAAUCGCCCUGUCUGGAGUCUUGCAGAGGACCAUCCUCUAAGAUAAUUCUUUUCUACACUGGGAUUCGAACUUUCUUGCCUUAGUCAGGUGACACAACUGAAAUCUUACUUCAAGAAAGUCCAACAGGAACCACUAUCUAAUCUGACAUGCUAAAACACUAGGAGUUACUCGAGUGUUGUAAUUUAGCUCUGUCCAUACUAAGGUUUGAGGUCUCUGCUGACUAAUUUUAUAUCAACCUAAUACAAGCUAGAGUUAUCUGAAAGGAGGAAACUUCAACUGAGACGAUGCCUUUGUAAGAUCUGGCUGUAAGGCAUUUUCUUAGUUACUGAUAGGGGAAGGCCUCGCUCAAUGUGGGUAGUGUUAUCCCUGGGCAGCGGUCCUGGGUUCUGUAAGAAAGCAGGCUGAGCAAACCAUGUUAAACAAGCCAGUAAGCAGCACCCAUCCAUGGCCUCUACAUCAGCCCCUACCUGUAGAUUCCUGCCCUGCUUGAUUUCCUGCCCUUGCUUUUGAUAAUGAGCUGUUGCUUGGAAUUAUAAGUGAAAUACACUCUUUCUUUCUUCUCUAAGUUGCUUUUAGCCAUGUUGUUUCAUCACAGAAAUACUAACCCUAACUAAGACAGAGCCAAUACUGCCAGGUGAUUGAUUACUUCUUCAAUGUCUAGGCACAGAAGUACAAAGGAGUAAAGUUUUCCAUCUAGUAUGUUCUAGGCUGCCUACUGUCUCUAGAUUCUCACCUUCACUGACAUACCUCUCCUGUGACUUCUGAGGGAAAAUGUCACAGCCCAAACCACCUUAACUCUUAACCUGAUUUUGUAUACAACAUAAACAACUUCUAUAUGCCCCAGAAAGUUGGGUUAGAAGCACACUGGAUUCUUUUACAUACAUAUUCUACAGCUUUUUACCAAAAUUUGCAGUCACAAGAAAUUAUAAUAAAACAGACUAAAAUGGUAUUCCCUAUUGAAAGACAGACACUUUCUCCAGAACAAUCCAGCCAGGGACACUUCAGGAACACUCAGCUCAUGGCCACACUCCUUUUCUAGAAAUGCUUGCUCUCAAGAACCUCCCUUUCUUGGGAUUGUCUUCUCUCAGCAACACAUCCCUGGAUACAGCCUUCUCUCAUGGGUGCCCCCCUUAGGCACCCCUCUUCACGAUACAGAAUAUCUAACAUGGACUUGGCAGGCAGACCCUGCUAGGUGCUUUCAGCUACAUUAACCCUUUAAUUCUCAUGGCUAUACAGUACAUAGAGCAUCAUUAUCCCCAUUUUGAAAAUAAAAUUAAACCAGGUUUCAGAGUGAAUAAAUAAAUAUAUCAGACCAAAACUGUUUUCUCUGAGACCUUGUAUGAUCUUUCAUCGUCUCACUGUGAACCAAGUUAUCUAUCACUACCUGUUCACAGGGAAGCAUCUACAGUAUUGAGAUGUUUUGGUUCUCAAUUAUGGACCUCCAAAGGACCAUAAAACUAUGCUGUUUCCAGGAAAUUCCAACACAGGACGGGCUGUUAGAAGAGACAGCAUUACUGAAAACCUUUAAUGUUAACAUAAUUUUAAAGAAAAAAAAAACAGUGACAUUUUUCAUCUACCUUCAAAAUACUGUAUCCUCAUUUAACCUUCCCUCCACCACCAUCUCCAGAUAUAUAUAGAAAACACAUUUCAAAACUAAAUUCAUAAAACUUACACGGUUUAUCAGUCCCUUCCUGCUGACAGAGAUGCUAAAUGGCAGGCAGAUGAAGUAAGGAGACAGGCAAGAGCAGAUGCAAUGACAGAGAGCCUUAGUAGAGACACAGUGUAGCCAGAUGAGAGCUGUGGAAUACGUACCCUACCUAAGCUGUCAUUUAAUCUCAAGAUGGAUGUCAAUGGUAAAACAGAGAGAAAACACCUUGCCAAUGCAAAGCUAAAGGCUCUCUCUAGAGCCCACAGCAUCAGAGUAAACAACUACUCAUUACAACUAUAUGCUCAGUAUCUAGACACAUAGAGUAACCCAAGACAUGCCCAGCGCUUGCCAGUCCAACAAGCCACUAGAGUACAGUUGCUGUUCUCUUGAAUCCCAAGCCUUCGUUUACUGACAUCUUCUGCUUUCAUUCACAGAAACUGGCCAAAUUCAUUUAAAACAUACCCUACACUUAGAUUUCCCAAAGAGAGAAUACC